rnacentral:rRNA from 1 species
AGCGAACGCUGGCGGCAGGCUUAACACAUGCAAGUCGAGCGGGCACUUCGGUGUCAGCGGCAGACGGGUGAGUAACACGUGGGAACGUACCCUUCGGUUCGGAAUAACGCUGGGAAACUAGCGCUAAUACCGGAUACGCCCUUUUGGGGAAAGGUUUACUGCCGAAGGAUCGGCCCGCGUCUGAUUAGCUAGUUGGUGGGGUAAUGGCCUACCAAGGCGACGAUCAGUAGCUGGUCUGAGAGGAUGAUCAGCCACACUGGGACUGAGACACGGCCCAGCCUCCUAGGGGAGGCAGAGGGGGGGAAUAUUGGAAAGGGGGCGCAAGCUGGACCACGCCUGGCCGGGGGGGGGAGGAGGGCUUUGGGGUUGAAAAGCUCUUUUGCCGGGGAGGAAAAUGGCGGUACGGAAAAAAAAGCCCCGGGCUACCUUCGGG